GGUGUCCCCGGAUUUGGAGGGUGUUGGGGAGCAACGUCAAAGCGGCGUCGAGGCAAUGUCCGCAGGUGGGUUUGGAGGGCUUCGCGGAAUAGUGUUGCGCGGCUAGGGUUGGAGCGUCCACGAGCGGCGCCGACGAGUGGCAGUGUCGCUCGGCUAGGGUUGUGGCCGGCAGAUGGGUGCGAGGGGAAGGAGUGGGGUGAGUUCGGGAGUGCCAGAGAUGAGGCCCUGUGGGAGAAAUGGGAGAAAUGGGAAAGAAAGAGAGAGAGAGAUGGGUUGGGUUGGGGGAGGAACCUGAGAGAGAGAGAGAGAGAGAGAGAGAGAGAGAGAGAGUAAGGUUUUUAAGUGGGUUU
rnacentral:lncRNA from 1 species